CCUACGGGUGGCUGCAGUGGGGAAUAUUGGACAAUGGGCGCAAGCCUGAUCCAGCAAUGCCGCGUGUGUGAAGAAGGCCUUAGGGUUGUAAAGCACUUUCAGCAAUGAAGAAGUUGUAUUGGCUAAUAUCCAAUAUAAUUGACGUUAGUUGCAGAAGAAGUACUGGCUAACUCUGUGCCAGCAGCCGCGGUAAUACAGAGAGUGCAAGCGUUAAUCGGAUGUAUAGGGCGUAAAAAAAGUUAGGGGUGUAAUCCCUGAGCUUAACCUAGGAAUUGCAUUUAAUACUUUUUAUCUAGAGUAUUGUAGGGGGAAGUGGAAUUUCCGGUGUAGCGGUGAAAUGCGUAGAUAUCGGAAGGAACACCAGUGGCGAAGGCGACUUCCUGGACAAAUACUGACACUGAGACACGAAAGCGUGGGGAGCAACCAGGAUUAGAUACCCCGGUAGUC
rnacentral:rRNA from 1 species